GUGAAUUUAGAGGUCGAAAGACGACCUUCCUCUUCACCAUCUUUCUGACCUCCGAUUGGAGUUCCUCUGGCCGCUUCACCGCAGGCUCUGGCUUCCUUUUCUCCAGGUACCUUUCUAUGGAGAGAUUAUGGACGUUUGCUGGUGAUGGUGGAUGGCGUGUGAGGCUCAGCUUAAGCACUUUUGGACUAACUCUGAAAACAAGAACCUGUACUGUCUGCGCAGGAAGUCUCUGUGAUGACCAGGUCUCACCGUCCAGAUCUGCAGGCAGCUCAGCCUUCAGAACCGUGACAGAGCCAAGUGAUUGUUGGCUCUAUAAACAUUUGUGAACCACGUGGGAUGAAUUGGAGGGAUACAGGCAUGGAUGACCUGUAAUGCUUGCCCAUAGGCUGUGCAGGGGCUGGCUGUGGUCAGGACUCAGCAGGUGAAGGUGCCUGCUGCCCAGCCUGAUGAUCCGAGUCCACUUUCUGGAAUCUCCAUGGUUGACUGCCUCCAAGAGGUACAGUAUACACUUAUCAAGUAAUGGUACGGUUUACUGCUUAGCUAGCCAAUCCUGGAGCCCUGGAUAAUGUGUGCACUGGGAGGAGUCCUGACAGGUGACUUGCCCAAAGUCACAUGGCACAUGUUUUAGAUCUGUCCUUUGUUGAGGGCUAUGGUGCUCUGGCCACCCUGUAAUGUAAUGGCCACUCUGUUGCAU
rnacentral:lncRNA from 1 species